rnacentral:tRNA from 1 species
UUGGUUAUUAUCCCUCCCGUACUA